rnacentral:rRNA from 1 species
GGCUAUGACAAUACCACCUUGAACACACCUGAUCUUGUCGCAGAAGCUAAGCAGGGUUGAGCCUGGCUAGUACUUGGAUUGGAGGCCACUUAAUUUCUAUUACAAAUUAUUCAUAAUCA